GAAGACAAUGUUGAAGACAAUGUUGAAGACAAUUUUGAAGAAAAUGUUGAAGACAAUGUUAAAGAUAAAAGUGACGACAAUGUUGAAAACAGAAAUCAACAGGAUGUUGUGGAUGAUGUUUCUGAUGACGUUUCAACGAUUUAUGAUAACGAACGUAUUCGCCAAAGGUCAAGAAAAAUACAUCGUGUUAAGAGAACAUUAUUUAAUCGGAAUACAUUGAAGUCUUCUAGCGAUUCUGAUAAUGCAAGUACAAGUAAUGAAAACGUUAGAUGUUCAUUUGAAGAAGAGAAUAAUACUCGGCACUCGGAGCAAAAUAUAGAUGACAAUGAAGACGAUGUGUCAUGUGAAGGACAAAGUGUUUCACAAAAGUUAAAUAAUAAACUGUUGAAACGAAAAAGGAUAAAGGAUGCUUUGGACUAUGUAGAUUCUUAUAAUACUCAUAAGCGUUAUGAGACAAUUUCAAAUAAAAAGGUAAGACAUUUGUUAAAUUAUCUUAAUAAAAUAU